GACGUAGGGCGCGAGCGUUGUCCGGAUUUAUUGGGCGUAAAGAGCUCGUAGGCGGCUUGUUGCGUCGACCGUGAAAACCCGGGGCUCAACUUCGGGCUUGCGGUCGAUACGGGCGGGCUAGAGUUCGGUAGGGGAGACUGGAAUUCCUGGUGUAGCGGUGAAAUGCGCAGAUAUCAGGAGGAACACCGGUGGCGAAGGCGGUUCUCUGGGCAUUACCUGACGCUGAGGAGCGAAAGUGUGGGGAGCGAACAGG
rnacentral:rRNA from 1 species